ensembl:lncRNA
AAUGUUUGACAUAUUUUGGCAAUAAAUGUUUCCUUAUUCCUGAUUCCUGAUUGAGACUGGUUCAUAGAGCGUCAGGAAAACACAGAGACUACAAAAUUGAUAUUAUACAAAUAAUAUUUAUUAUUUUUAUCAUUAUUAGUAAUAUUAUUGGUAAAAUACGUGAAUUAAAUGCUCACGUGUGCCCUUUAAAUGUUCGUGCUCUCAGAUUCUUGUAAUAUAAAUGUGUUAUUAAAACUGAGGGUUGUUAACAUUUAAUUAAUGACUAUAAAUGAAUUAUCCGAUAAUACUCAUACAUAGAGGUGGCUGAUCCCCCACAUAAAUACGUGAUAAAAUAUUUGAUCUUUGAUUUUUUGUUGUCGUCGUUGUGUGUUUUUCUCCUGCUCCAUUGUCUCGUCGCGCACCGGCGACUCCUUAACUGCCCUUUGUGUGCGUGUCUGUGCGCGUCACCGUGUGCGCGCACGACGACGUCAGGAGUGUUUUUGCUUCGCUCUCUCCGGCAUUCCUACGGUCCAUGAACGCAGCAGCGGCGGCCCAGCGUCCAGUAGAAGGAGGUCUCCGGUUUUAUCUAACCCGGCCGAGCACGCACAAACAUGGCGAUGAUGCAGCGCGCUCUCCCCCGGUCGCUGUGCGUGUGGCUCCUCUGGCUCGCCGGGAUUCACGCGUCUUCUAACCUCCACCUGCACGCCGAGCGGCCGCACGGAGGCUUCUUCACCAUAGAAGCGAUGAGGAGUUUACAGGACGGAGGAGCUGUGUGGAGGUGGUGGUGGCGGAGGCGGAGGCGGAGGCGCCCGCCGCCGCCGAAGCGGCUUCGCUGCCGCCUCCGGCCGCUCCGAGAGCCGCUGCAGGCGGGCCGGACUCCGGCGCUUAUCCGCAACAUCGAAGCCGCCGGAGCCCCGGAGAGUCGGCCAUGCCGAAGGUGUACGGGCAGGUACGUGCAGCGCCGCUUUCUCGCGGAAGGAAAUGUGCAAACUGUGUGCAUCACCUCGGGCAGCCUCGGCUGCGGAAGGACGCGGUCAAGCGAAGAGUACACGGCGCGACCCUCCGGUGUUUGCGGUGUGCGUCGCAUCUUGCAGAACCCGGGACGUCUCCGUGGGGCUUUCGUUGCAACGUGACGACACACCAGACAUGCACCGGAAUAUGUGUCCAUUGUGGAGCGAGUCAACGGCGGCCCGCUGUGGCAGUGACCGGCAGUGACUCAUCUCAGACGGGAUAACGGGGGAUUUAUUCCCGUAGCACGGAGAUUAAAUUAAUGCCGAAGUCACCGGAACUCCCGUGAGAUGUGACAACGGGGUUUGUUUUUGUAUCUCGGACGGCCCGUCUGCCGUUAAACACGGAAACCAACACAAACCCGCUUUUCGGAAGGGUUGUUCUGAAUGGAAGAUGACGAGCACAGAAAUGUGCGGCGAGAAACAAACGCUCCAAGUUUUCCUUUUCCGACAGCGUGUUGAAAGUUGACAUGACACACGUUUAACGUUAACUUUGUUCACAAUCUGUGGCUUCACCUCAAGUUGCUCUCAGCCGAACUUAACUGGAAACGAGGCUUAUGCCGGUUGUGGACAGAAGGUCUCACACACCUGGUCUCAUCUCCAGUUUAAUCAAAUAUAAUAAGUGUUUGUAAACAGGCUGCGUGACGCACGCUGUUUGCUUCUGUGUGUGUGUUGACCUACACAGGUGGAGGAGGGUGGUGCUGUCUUUCGUUACCAACACUUCAUCCCGUAGUCCGACUGGUGUCGUUGUCUUUGGGACAAUGUGUCCUCAUGUUUCACUCGAGGUGGUGUCGUUGUCUUUGGGACAACGUGUCCUCAUGUUUGACUCGAGGUGGUGGUGUUGUCUUUGGGACAAUGUGUCCUCAUGUUUGACUCGAGGUGGUGUUGUUGUCUUUGGGACAACGUGUCCUCAUGUUUCACUCGAGGUGGUGUCUCUGGGACAACGUGUCCUCAUGUUUGACCCGAGGUGGUGUCUCUGGGACAACGUGUCCUCAUGUUUGACAGGCUCUCUGAGGCCUGGUAGCUGCUUGAAGAACCAGCCGACAUAAAAGUCAAAAGUCAGAGCGUGUCUUUUAUUGUUAGACAAUUAGUUUGUUGUUGGACAGGAUUUUAUUUAAAUUAAAACGGGACCAGACUAGUUCCUGUAAUAGUCACAAAAUGCGAUCCAUUGGUUUUGUCUACGUGGAAACAAAACUAAUGGUUUACACACAAGUCAAAUGCAGUCACCAUCUUUAAUAUAUAAAAUGAUCUGUUUGCUGCUGGAGGACCGAGUCAAACAAUCAGGACCGUUUUUUCUAAAUGACCUGUUUAGUUUCUCAGCCGUACUGAAGAGAAUCUGCAGCCGUUUCUUUCUUUCAGCCCGACAGCAAAGUAGAGACGAUGUUUGAGGUUAAAUUAUUCUGCAUGAACACGAGGACCAUUAGUUGACUAUGAACACAACAACCGGUCCCCGGGGGCUCCGAUCCGGAUCGGGUUUCUAGUUCGUCCCGCGCUCGGCUUGUGGAGGGUUUGUCCCUCGGCUGGUCCUCCCUGUGGCGUCCUCAAGGCGUCAUAAGCAAGUUCACACACAUAAUGAAGGACCACUGAGUCGGUCUGUGGCCAUCUGACACGGGGCGAGCUGCGAUGAUGAUGAUGAUGAAGGGCGAAACCGGCCUUCCCUCAUUGUUCCUCGUGCAAACCACAGGGCGCCGUGGACGUAGUCAUGGUGACGCCACCCGUCGGCUCGAAGCCACGACGGCGCUGAUUUUAAUCUAUAAUUUACUAAAGAGACUGAGACCAUAAACUCGUGUUUACAAAGUUUACUGAGGGAACAAAUCGAUGAUUUUAAACUUUAUUUACACUGAUGUUGACGAUCUGUGAGGGAUCAACAGCAUCUGUUCCUCCUGCAACAUGUUUGUUUGUCAGAUAACAAGUGGGCGAAUGGGGGACAUCGCUGGUUGCCGUGGUUACGGCUCCUCCAGCGGCCGUCCAAAGGGCACCGUGGAGCUGCAGCAACACGUGGAAUCAAACCGGCAACCGACCAGGCGGCCGCGUUAGGACGGGACGGCACAAUAAUCCAGUAAUGGAGACCAAAGCUAUUUGGUCCCGUUUUUAAUACAGAAGUGAGACGCUUCAAACCGUUGUUUUGAUUGGACUAAGUUUGACGCCUCCGUCCUCCCGAACCCCCCGUGUCACGUCUCGCUGCUCCAGCAGAGACGACCUCCAUCUCCCACCAGCACCACCCUCAAACCCCCCCCACGCACACACUCAGGCGGUGCUCGUCUUUACCCUCGACGCUCCAAUUUCUUAAAGCCUUCCUUACAAUUCUUAUCGGAGCUGAUUAUUGUAUAUAUUUAUUGUGGUGCAACAACAUUUGAGACCGUUUGGUCUCCGUAAAAGCUCUUUGAGUCGUACUCUCACCUGACGGGGGGGGGGUAGAAGGG